rnacentral:rRNA from 1 species
AGAGUUUGAUCAUGGCUCAGAACGAACGCUGGCGGCGUGGAUAAGACAUGCAAGUCGAGCGAGAUUUUUCGUUGUAGCAAUACGAUGGAAAGUCUAGCGGCGAACGGGUGCUUAACACGUGGGCAACCUGCCAUGAAGUGGGGGAUAGCUCGCCGAAAGGCGAAUUAAUACCGCAUGUGAUUAGAGAGGACAUCCUUUCGAAAUUAAAGUCGGGGCAACCUGACGCUUCUUGUGGGGCCCGCAGCCUAUCAGCUAGUUGGUGAGGUAACGGCUCACCAAGGCUUUGACGGGUAGCUGGUCUGAGAGGACGACCAGCCACACUGGGACUGAGACACGGCCCAGACACCUACGGGUGGCAGCAGUCGAGAAUUUUUGACAAUGGGGGAAACCCUGAUCGAGCGACGCCGCGUGGAGGAUGAAGGUCUUCGGAUUGUAAACUCCUGUCAUUGGGGAACAAGGUGCAAACGUUAACUGCGUGUGCAUUGAUAGUACCCGAAGAGGAAGAGACGGCUAACUCUGUGCCAGCAGCCGCGGUAAUACAGAGGUCUCAAGCGUUGUUCGGAUUCAUUGGGCGUAAAGGGUGCGUAGGCGGCGCGGUAAGUCGGGUGUGAAAUCUCGGAGCUUAACUCCGAAACUGCAUUCGAUACUGCCGUGCUUGAGGACUGGAGAGGAGACUGGAAUUUACGGUGUAGCGGUGAAAUGCGUAGAUAUCGUAAGGAAGACCAGUGGCGAAGGCGGGUCUCUGGACAGUUCCUGACGCUGAGGCACGAAGGCCAGGGGAGCAAACGGGAUUAGAUACCCCCGUAGUCC